rnacentral:misc_RNA from 1 species
GUGAAUCAUCGAAUUUUUGAACGCAAAUUGCACUCCCUGGUAUUCCGGGGAGUAUGCCUGUUUGAGGGUCGUUAGAAUAAAAAUUCGAGGCGUUGCUCUUUUUCUUACGGGUGAUCGCGUCGGAAUUGAGCUGUCUUUCUAAUGUUAAUUCAUGUAUAAGUGGCUUAAUUUUUAUCUAUCUGGUACGAUUAAAGCGUAUUUAAGAUUAACUUUGAUUAUUAAAGUGCGAUGAACGUACCAUUCGAUGUGAUACGUUUGACUUGAC